GAUGAACGCUGGCGGCGUGCCUAAUACAUGCAAGUCGAGCGAACGGACGAGAAGCUUGCUUCUCUGAUGUUAGCGGCGGACGGGUGAGUAACACGUGGAUAACCUACCUAUAAGACUGGGAUAACUUCGGGAAACCGUAGCUAAUACCGGAUAAUAUUUUGAACCGCAUGGUUCAAAAGUGAAAGACGGUCUUGCUGUCACUUAUAGAUGGAUCCGCGCUGCAUUAGCUAGUUGGUAAGGUAACGGCUUACCAAGGCAACGAUGCGUAGCCGACCUGAGAGGGUGAUCGGCCACACUAGAACUGAGACACGGUCCAGACUCCUACGGGAGGCAGCAGUAGGGAAUCGUCCGCAAUGGGCGAAAGCCUGACGGAGCAACGCCGCGUGGGUGAUGAAGGUCUUCGGAUCGUAAAACUCUGUUAUUAGGGAAGAACAUAUGUGUAAGUAACUGUGCACAUCUUGACGGUACCUAAUCAGAAAGCCACGGCUAACUACGUG
rnacentral:rRNA from 1 species